rnacentral:rRNA from 1 species
GUAGUCCUGGCUGUAAACGAUGUCGACUUGGAGGUUGUGCCCUUGAGGCGUGGCUUCCGGAGCUAACGCGUUAAGUCGACCGCCUGGGGAGUACGGCCGCAAGGUUAAAACUCAAAUGAAUUGACGGGGGCCCGCACAAGCGGUGGAGCAUGUGGUUUAAUUCGAUGCAACGCGAAGAACCUUACCUGGUCUUGACAUCCACAGAACUUUCCAGAGAUGGAUUGGUGCCUUCGGGAACUGUGAGACAGGUGCUGCAUGGCUGUCGUCAGCUCGUGUUGUGAAAUGUUGGGUUAAGUCCCGCAACGAGCGCAACCCUUAUCUUUUGUUGCCAGCGGUCCGGCCGGGAACUCAAAGGAGACUGCCAGUGAUAAACUGGAGGAAGGUGGGGAUGACGUCAAGUCAUCAUGGCCCUUACGACCAGGGCUACACACGUGCUACAAUGGCGCAUACAAAGAGAAGCGACCUCGCGAGAGCAAGCGGACCUCAUAAAGUGCGUCGUAGUCCGGAUUGGAGUCUGCAACUCGACUCCAUGAAGUCGGAAUCGCUAGUAAUCGUGGAUCAGAAUGCCACGGUGAAUACGUUCCCGGGCCUUGUACACACCGCCCGUCACACCAUGGGAGUGGGUUGCAAAAGAAGUAGGUAGCUUAACCUUCGGGAGGGCGCUUACCACUUUGUGAUUCAUGACUGGGGUGAAGUCGUAACAAGGUAGCCGUAGGGGAACCUGCGGCUGGAUCACCUCC